rnacentral:tRNA from 1 species
GCCGGUGUAGCUCAGUUGGUAGAGCGCCUGCUUUGUAAGCAGGAUGUCCCGGGUUCGACCCCUGGCGCCGGCACCA